AUUGAACGCUGGCGGCAUGCCUUACACAUGCAAGUCGAACGGCAGCACGGGUGCUUGCACCUGGUGGCGAGUGGCGAACGGGUGAGUAAUACAUCGGAACAUGUCCUGUAGUGGGGGAUAGCCCGGCGAAAGCCGGAUUAAUACCGCAUACGAUCUACGGAUGAAAGCGGGGGACCUACGGGCCUCGCGCUAUAGGGUUGGCCGAUGGCUGAUUAGCUAGUUGGUGGGGUAAAGGCCUACCAAGGCGACGAUCAGUAGCUGGUCUGAGAGGACGACCAGCCACACUGGGACUGAGACACGGCCCAGACUCCUACGGGAGGCAGCAGUGGGGAAUUUUGGACAAUGGGCGAAAGCCUGAUCCAGCAAUGCCGCGUGUGUGAAGAAGGCCUUCGGGUUGUAAAGCACUUUUGUCCGGAAAGAAAUCCUUGGCCCUAAUACGGUCGGGGGAUGACGGUACCGGAAGAAUAAGCACCGGCUAACUACGUG
rnacentral:rRNA from 1 species